GACGAACGCUGGCGGCGUGCCUAAUACAUGCAAGUCGAGCGGACAGAUGGGAGCUUGCUCCCUGAAGUCAGCGGCGGACGGGUGAGUAACACGUGGGCAACCUGCCUGUAAGACUGGGAUAACUCCGGGAAACCGGGGCUAAUACCGGAUAAUUCUUUUCCUCACAUGAGGGAAAGCUGAAAGAUGGUUUCGGCUAUCACUUACAGAUGGGCCCGCGGCGCAUUAGCUAGUUGGUGAGGUAACGGCUCACCAAGGCAACGAUGCGUAGCCGACCUGAGAGGGUGAUCGGCCACACUGGGACUGAGACACGGCCCAGACUCCUACGGGAGGCAGCAGUAGGGAAUCUUCCGCAAUGGACGAAAGUCUGACGGAGCAACGCCGCGUGAGUGAUGAAGGUUUUCGGAUCGUAAAACUCUGUUGUUAGGGAAGAACAAGUACCGGAGUA
rnacentral:rRNA from 1 species